GACGAACGCUGGCGGCGUGCUUAACACAUGCAAGUCGAACGGAAAGGCCCUGCUUUUGUGGGGUGCUCGUGUGGCGAACGGGUGAGUAAAACGUGAGUAACCUGCCCUUGACUUUGGGAUAACUUUAGGAAACUGGGGCUAAUAUCGGAUAGGAGCUCCUGCUGCAUGGUGGGGGUUGGAAAGUUUCGGCGGUUGGGGCUGGACUCGCGGCUUAUCAGCUUGUUGGUGGGGUAGUGGCUUACCAAGGCUUCGACGGGUAGCCGGCCUGAGAGGGUGACCGGCCACAUUGGUACUGAGAUACGGCCCAGACUCCUACGGGAGGCAGCAGUGGGGAAUAUUGCACAAUGGGCGGAAGCCUGAUGCAGCAACGCCGCGUGCGGGAUGACGGCCUUCGGGUUGUAAACCGCUUUCGCCUGUGACGAAGCGUGAGUGACGGUAAUGGGUAAAGAAGCACCGGCUAACUACGUG
rnacentral:rRNA from 1 species